AAUCAACGCUGGCGGCGUGCCUAACACAUGCAAGUCGAACGAGAAAGUGACUUCGGUCACUGGACAGUGGCGUCCGGGUGAGUAACACGUGGGUAAUCUACCUUCGGGUGGGGAAUAACGUCUCGAAAGAGACGCUAAUACCGCAUAAUGCAGCGGCACCUUAUGGUGAAUAGUUGUUAAAGCGGGGGAUCGCAAGACCUCGCGCCUGAAGAGGAGCCUGCGGCAGAUUAGCUAGUUGGUGAGGUAAUGGCUCACCAAGGCUGCGAUCUGUAGCUGGUCUGAGAGGACGGCCAGCCACACUGGCACUGACACACGGGCCAGACUCCUACGGGAGGCAGCAGUGGGGAAUUUUGGGCAAUGGGCGCAAGCCUGACCCAGCAACGCCGCGUGAGGGAGGAAAUCCUUCGGGAUGU
rnacentral:rRNA from 1 species